CUUUUGGUGCUUUAGAACAAACCAAAGCCACAAAGACUAACACUCGGGAGCUGUUAUACAGACUGGGGGGAAAGCUAUGGGGAAGUUACUGACAAUGGAAGGAGAAGGAGGAUGAGAAGAAGAACGAUCAGCCUUGAUAUUUUACUGACAUGCUUCGUCGGAUUUUANUGCAAUCCUGUAAAGCAAGAUUACUCAGUGGCUGUGUGGGAUUUGGAACGUAAGGCCUUGCGGAUCCUGGGCAAGCGUUCCACCUUCUCGCAGAUAUUGUGUCAAUGCUCGGAGGUUACCCGUGAGUCUUUGCCACCUUGGGGGCUGCAAAUGCAACAAGCGCCUGCCGCUCCCGGGACAAUCGNAGGUGUCACACGGGCCAGGAGACCUGCUCCUGCCCCUCGGGGUCAUCCCAUGAAGGGGGACUGCAGCCCCUGAUGAGCUGGAGGGAGCCCUCCGGUCUUGGAGGCAUUUAACGCCUUUAUGCUGCCCCCUCCUGCUGCUUCCCUUUAGCCUAGCGAAGGAAAGAAAGAGUUAAACAUGCCGCACGUACAUGGAGCCCGUUAAUGCCGGAUGAACUGAACAGGCAUUUCUGGCCUACGCAGCUGAGGACUGCAAAAGGCGGGGAGAAGCGCCUUGCGGCGUCCGUGUNGUUCUGCUGCCUGCUCAAGACGGUCUUCUGAACGCAGCGAUCUUUCCUUCAGGAUUUGUGANAAGAUCUUUAUAUGAACUUAAGGUGGGGAGGCAGAGAUGGUAUCUGUCUUCAUGGUAAUUAGUGGCGCAACUUAAUUAAGCAUUUGCUGUGCUUGGAAUUAUCCAAGGUCUCCUUGCUUUCUAAAUUCCUCCUUGAGUGAGAUGCCUUUCCUUCCUUGCUUUGCUGGCAGUGGCUUCUUUUCUUUUUAAAAGCAGGGAGGGCUGCAUUCAGCAGGUCCAGCGGUCCCCAGCCCACAGUCUGGGUCCAGAGAAGAGAGGCUGAUAAGAGAACAGGUUCUCGUUUAACGAAACAGCAGGCCAGGGCCCGACAGGAGCUGCACAUCAGUUCAGACUCACACCGUUGCAAGAGUGUUGCAUUUUAAAUAUGCUCCCAAAUGGCUUGUCAGUAACAAAUUAUACUUGUCACAUUCUCCAAACAGAUUUAGCAAGCACAUUAACAAUGUUAAUGAUAUGUGAUCUCUGCAGGAGAAGAAAGGUUAAAACCUGGUUUGGAGAUUCUGCCAAGCUGCUCAUCCUCUGCCUCUGAGACUGAACUCAGUCUUCACUCUGGAACAGGGGAUGGAUUGGCAAGAAUAACUGAAAGUCCAUUCCUGCUAGGAAAAAGGAAGGGCUGCGUGGUGCCAGCAGGGUUUCAGAACACAGCUGUGCAGUCUAGUUUGGUGCCAGAGGCUGGAAUCCCAGGCUGUUUCCAUGGCCCAAAUCCUGAACACGUAAGCCGACCCAUUUGGUUUGGGGUUGUUUGUUUUGAGCCCGGGUAAGGCCAAACCUGUCUCCAACCUCAGUCACUCUCCACACUGGGGCAGGGGGUGGGACAAAGUAAGGGCUAAUUCAUUUAGCAUGCAGAUCCUCCCUGACUCCAGCGCUAUUGCUGAGGACACAAACAUUCCUCUCCUCUCUACUUUUCAGAUUAGAGUUAAAUGAGCCUUUCAUAAUUCUCCAUUACAAUUUAGGUUCCUAUGCAAGUUUAACUGUGACCCUGAAGAUAAGGGAACAACAGGAACAGAUUCUUCUUCGGAAACAGCAGAUGUAAAUAACAUUAAACCACCCCCCACCCUCCCCCCGAAAGCAAAAGAACAACUUGCUAGCCUUUUGUGGGAAACAAUCCCCUCGCUUCUUGGGUGAGAGAGAAGAGGAAGCAUUAAAAAAUCCAAGCACCAGAUUGGUAGGAUUGGAGCUUGUGUGCUGCAUCACUCGCCGACUGCUCUGCACUCUGUUUAUGCUGUGGAGCAUCUAGUAACUUGGUAAAUCUUCCUAUAUCCAUGAAAAGUGAANCUGUCCCAAGGGUUGAAACUAAAGCUACUGCAUUGCUACAGCCUGCUUUAACCACCUCUUCUGAGAGUCCUACUCCUGCUGUGGAGCAGCAGGGCUGCAUGGUUCAUUCCUCUUGCGACAGUAGGGGAACACUUGAGCAAAGAGGUUUCUCAGGAGACCUUCCUCCCACCUCUGAGGAAACAUCUGCCUGCUAAAAGAAUGCCCCCCUUGAUUUGUUCCUCUCCCUGCUCCAUGAUGUUGGAGCCACUCUCCAAAAGAACAAACAAAUAAAUAAAUAAAAUUAGAAUUCA
rnacentral:lncRNA from 1 species